UCUCUACCCUGGAGAAUCUCCAGCUGGGGAGAUCUGUUUGCUUUCUCACCCAUUUGCACAGUCACAGCUGCAGAAAGGUCCUGAACAGCAAUCUGGCUCCUAUCGCUUGGAGAGGACAGGGAAGAAGCUACAUUGGGAGGAAUUUAAGAUUGCAAAUUAACUCGGACAUUUGAGCAACUUUGAAGCUACACUCGACUUGAUCUUGCAUGGUGCCGAUGUGGAGAGUUGUGCACAUAAGCACAAUGUAUAAAGGAAGGAGCAGGACAGUGAUCAUCAAAACCCCGGGCCUGCAUAAGAGCUGAUGCAUGGCUGCCAAGCUACACGUGCCUAGUAGUUGAAAUAAGACCUAUGAGGAAAAAUACAUACAGUAGCUAAGCUCCUCACGAACAUGAUGAAAAUCAUGCUGAGACCAUGUCUCCUCAGACGUUCUCCUCUUGUACCGUGGACACUAGCAAUUAAGAGAGAGAGUGCAACAAGACUAGGGACUUCUACUGAUCAGUGUGAAGGAUUAUUGGUGGCUCCUUAAUCUUACUUGUGCCUGGCAUUUGUGCUGCAGUAAAACACCAUUAUAUAUUCUGCUGUGUACUAUGUAAGGACUUGCAGGAUCAGGAUUAGGAUGAACAGUGGUGGAGGAAUUCAAUAUUUCUGUGUCUGUUUAUUGACUUUGGCUGUAAGCCAUGGUAAUGAGGAGCCUGCAAAAGGCCAGAGAUGAAAUGUGGAAGGGGACGGAAAGUGAGGAAGGACAAAGUAAAGAAUCAGACAGGAACACAGACUGCUCUUGGACAUGCAGUUCUGAUUGAAGCUCCUGGGAGGUGAAUAUGAGCUCUUAAGGCACAAUAUGGCCUAUACGUUUUGUCAGUGUUCAAUAAUGCCUGUACUACUUCAGAAAAUGAAGCAACACAUUUAUUAAUAAUUGAUAUAUAACUUUAUUAUGCACAGACGAAGAUGACAUGACACUGUGGUUAUCAAAACUGUACAACUAAGCAUUUCCCCAAGUCUUCUGAAAUACUGAACACAGAACUAAAUACCAAUGGGGUGUUCAGACUGGCCAGAGGGAUUAAUGGAUUCAUUUCUCCCAUUGAUUUUUUUAAAAUACAUCUGUGAUGAAAUUUUGUAAUUAAGAACUGAUUAAAAAACAAAUCAAAGUACUGUGUUUGGAACCAGUUGAAAACAUGAUAGCUAAUA